UCCGUUGUAGUCUAGCCGGUCAAGAUACUCGGCUCUCACUCGAUAGACCCGGGCUCGAGUCCCAGCAAUGGAG
rfam:Brassica napus, WGS project CCCW01000000 data, contig: 9042